rnacentral:rRNA from 1 species
CUGCUGCCUCCCGUAGGAGUCUGGUCCGUGUCUCAGUACCAGUGUGGGGGACCUUCCUCCCAGAACCCCUACGCAUCGUCGUCUUGGUGGUCCGUUACACCGCCAACUAACUAAUGCGACGCAUGCCCAUCCGCCACCGGAAUUAACCUUUGGCACCAACAGGAUGUCCCGUCGAUGCAUUAUGCCGUAUUAGACGGAAUUUCUCCCGAUUAUCCGGCUGUGGCAGGCAGGUUGCAUACGUGUUACUCACCCGUGCG